rnacentral:rRNA from 1 species
CGCGUAAAGAACUUGCCUCACAGAUAGGGACAACAUUUGGAAACGAAUGCUAAUACCUGAUAUUAUGAUUUUAGGGCAUCCUAGAAUUAUGAAAGCUAUAUGCGCUGUGAGAGAGCUUUGCGUCCCAUUAGCUAGUUGGAGAGGUAACGGCUCACCAAGGCGAUGAUGGGUAGCCGGCCUGAGAGGGUGAUCGGCCACAAGGGGACUGAGACACGGCCCUU